CAAGAAACCAUGAAACUCAUACUUGAAGGGACUGUCCCAAUUCUACCCUGCAGUUUCGUGAAUCACUGAAAUGAAAAUUGUAGAUCUCCAUACAACGUGUGCUGUGCUGCCUAGCUCGUCAUGCAGCUGUGCGCAAUUCCUGAGUCAGUUUACAGAAUGGGUGUACCAGUCAGCCCCUGUGAUAUCCAGGUUCUAUACCAGUUUGGUAAAUGGCAAGAGAAGAAACUGAAAAGCCCAAAGGAAGCUCAUCUAUCAGAUUAAACGGAGGCUUCACCGGAUUUGUGGCAAAUAAAUUGACAAGCGAGGGCACAGAUGACAAGAGAGCGAUAAUUGAUGGAGCCAAGUGGGGGCCUGGUGCACUGGCAGGUCCUGUGGAGGGUGAGCCAAGGACAUCUAUCAAUCAAAUUGGUGACAGCAGCCAGCGAGACUUAAUUGAAGGUGCAUUGAACCUUUAAUGAUGUGACAGGGAAAAAUAAGGAUGCUUAAAAGUGUCCUCAGCUUUCUUUUUCUUUGUUCCAACAAUUCUAGUAGGAAGAGUGGAAAGUGGACAUCACUCCAGGGUUGAACAUUCGUUGUUCCCAUCAAAGUUAAUCACAUUGUUUGGAGAGGUGGAGUAGCAAAAGUAUUUACCAUUAGCCCAGUGUGGGAUGAAAUCUAAACCUGCAGAGAGAGAGACCUGACUGUCUUGUGUUCCAUGUAAGUGGGGAUGCUUAGCAAGGGCUUGGGUACCAACUGCAUAACCCUGAGUUAAGCUGGGGUGCACAGAUCCUCUACCCAAAUGUAGGUUCCCAGUGCAGUCAGGUAGGAAGUCUUUCCUCUCAUUCAGUGAUGUCCCCCAGCAUUCCUUUAUAAACUACACUGUGUAUUAUACAAAUGUAGAUAUUUUUCAAUUUAUCAUUGUAAUUUCUUUGCUGGAGGCUCAAAAUAAUUUUAUUUCCAAUUUGGGAAAGUAGAGAGCCCAGAGAUAUUUGGGCCGUACAGCCCAUCAUGCUCAGAGGACUUUGUUUAAUGUUAGUGGUGCAGGA
rnacentral:lncRNA from 1 species